rnacentral:rRNA from 1 species
GUGUCAGCAGCCGCGGUAAUACAGAGGGUGCAAGCGUUAAUCGGAAUUACUGGGCGUAAAGCGCGCGUAGGCGGCUAUUUAAGUCGGGUGUGAAAGCCCCGGGCUCAACCUGGGAAUUGCAUCCGAUACUGAAUGGCUAGAGUAUGAGAGAGGGAGGUAGAAUUCCACGUGUAGCGGUGAAAUGCGUAGAUAUGUGGAGGAAUACCGGUGGCGAAGGCGGCCUCCUGGCUUAAUACUGACGCUGAGGUGCGAAAGCGUGGGGAUCAAACAGGAUUAGAUACCCUGGUAGGCCACGCCGUAAACGAUGUCAACUAGCCGUUGGGAACCUUAGUGUUCUUGGUGGCGCAGCUAACGCGAUAAGUUGACCGCCUGGGGAGUACGGUCGCAAGAUUAAAACUUAAAGGAAUUGACGGGG